AAGGCCAUAAACAAGACUUGAACCCAGAUUGGAAAGGAUAAUCAGUGUCACCUAAGAAAUUCUGGAUCUGUGUUGCCAAUACUAACUCCAGGGCAUAAAAGUGCAAAUUAAGUAUAUUCAUCUUCAAAUGUGAACUGAAUUCUACAUCUCCCAUAUCCCUAGCAUGGACACCCAUGAAGGUGGCAGAAUACAUGCUACUGGAGAGAUAAAUGGCAGAUUGAAAGUAAGGACUCUAUGAAAAUCUCUUGGACAGCUCCAUAGUAUGCUAACCACAGUGUAAGCUCUGCAUCCCAAAUCCACUGAAUAUUUCUCACCCUUUUGAUAAUAUUCAAAUGCAAUUUCUUUUUGUAUGAAUGGAUGGGCCAUUGUUUGGGAAAUGCAGGGGGGAAAUUCAACACAUUACUACUUGUGCUAAAAUCAAAACCUAAAUAAAAAAAUGAUGGCAUUGUGAACAUGCUAAAA